CAGGCUUAACACAUGCAAGUCGAGGGGCAGCAUGGUCUUAUCUUGCUAAGGCCGAUGGCGACCGGCGCACGGGUGAGUAACGCGUAUCCAACCUGCCUUACACUCUUGGACAGCCUUCUGAAAGGGAGAUUAAUACAAGAUGUUAUCAUGAGUAAGCAUUUUCACAUGAUUAAAGGUUUACCGGUGUAAGAUGGGGAUGCGUUCCAUUAGAUAGUAGGCGGGGUAACGGCCCACCUAGUCUUCGAUGGAUAGGGGUUCUGAGAGGAAGGUCCCCCACAUUGGAACUGAGACACGGUCCAAACUCCUACGGGAGGCAGCAGUGAGGAAUAUUGGUCAAUGGACGAGAGUCUGAACCAGCCAAGUAGCGUGAAGGAUGAAGGUUCUAUGGAUUGUAAACUUCUUUUAUACGGGAAUAAACGAAUCCACGUGUGGAUUUUUGCAUGUACCGUAUGAAUAAGGAUCGGCUAACUCCGUGCCAGCAGCCGCGGUAAUACGGAGGAUCCGAGCGUUAUCCGGAUUUAUUGGGUUUAAAGGGAGCGUAGAUGGGUUGUUAAGUCAGUUGUGAAAGUUUGCGGCUCAACCGUAAAAUUGCAAUUGAUACUGGCAGUCUUGAGUACAGUUGAGGUAGGCGGAAUUCGUGGUGUAGCGGUGAAAUGCUUAGAUAUCACGAAGAACUCCGAUUGCGAAGGCAGCUUACUAACCUGUAACUGACAUUGAUGCUCGAAAGUGUGGGUAUCAAACAGGAUUAGAUACCCUGGUAGUCCACACGGUAAACGAUGAAUACUCGCUGUAGGCGAUAUACAGUCUGCGGCCAAGCGAAAGCAUUAAGUAUUCCACCUGGGGAGUACGCCGGCAACGGUGAAACUCAAAGGAAUUGACGGGGGCCCGCACAAGCGGAGGAACAUGUGGUUUAAUUCGAUGAUACGCGAGGAACCUUACCCGGGCUUAAAUUGCAACCGAAUAUGGCGGAAACGCUAUAGCUAGCAAUAGCGGUUGUGAAGGUGCUGCAUGGUUGUCGUCAGCUCGUGCCGUGAGGUGUCGGCUUAAGUGCCAUAACGAGCGCAACCCUUGCCGAUAGUUACUAACAGGUUAUGCUGAGGACUCUGUCGGGACUGCCAUCGUAAGAUGUGAGGAAGGUGGGGAUGACGUCAAAUCAGCACGGCCCUUACGUCCGGGGCUACACACGUGUUACAAUGGGGGGUACAGAGGGCUGCUACCACGCAAGUGGAUGCCAAUCCCAAAAACCUCUCUCAGUUCGGAUUGAAGUCUGCAACCCGACUUCAUGAAGCUGGAUUCGCUAGUAAUCGCGCAUCAGCCACGGCGCGGUGAAUACGUUCCCGGGCCUUGUACACACCGCCCGUCAAGCCAUGGGAGCCGGGGGUACCUGAAGUGCGUAACCGCAAGGAGCGCCCUAGGGUAAAACUGGUGACUGGG
rnacentral:rRNA from 1 species